rnacentral:rRNA from 1 species
AACUAACGCUGGCGGCGUGCCUAACACGUGCAAGUCGUACGAGAAAGUCGGCUUCGGCUGAUGAGUAAAGUGGCGCACGGGUGAGUAACGCGUGGAUAAUCUGCCCUUGAGUGUGGAAUAACGUACCGAAAGGUGCGCUAAUACCGCAUAAUGCCUGGCAACACAAGUUGUCCGGCCAAAGAAGGCCUCUGUUUACAAGCUUUUGCUCAAGGAUGAGUCCGCGUACCAUUAGCUAGUUGGUGGGGUAACGGCCUACCAAGGCUACGAUGGUUAGCUGGUCUGAGAGGAUGAUCAGCCACACUGGAACUGAGACACGGUCCAGACUCCUACGGGAGGCAGCAGUGAGGAAUAUUGCGCAAUGGGGGCAACCCUGACGCAGCAACGCCGCGUGAGUGAGGAAGGUUUUCGGACUGUAAAGCUCUGUCGAGCGGGAAGAAAUGUACCAUGGCUAAUAUCCAUGAUAUUUGACGGUACCGCUAGAGGAAGCACC